CCGAGUUUACAACUCCCAAACCUCUGUGAACAUACCACUUGUUGCCUCGGCGGAUCAGCCCGCUCCCGGUAAAACGGGACGGCCCGCCAGAGGACCCCUAAACUCUGUUUUAUAUGUAAUUUCUGAGUAAACAUCAAAUAAAUUA
rnacentral:misc_RNA from 1 species